rnacentral:rRNA from 1 species
AGGUGCGAUCAUACCAGCACUAAUGCACCGGAUCCCAUCAGAACUCCGCAGUUAAGCGUGCUUGGGCGAGAGUAGUACUAGGAUGGGUGACCUCCUGGGAAGUCCUCGUGUUGCACCUCUUU